rnacentral:lncRNA from 1 species
UUGAUUAUUUAAUCAAAAAUAUUUUCAAUAAUGAUCAAAUCUUAAAUAGCUAAUCUAUACAUGUCUAUGAGUUAAGAUGUCCAAUAAUAAUGAUAUGCCGAGAUUAUCGAUAAAAGAACUUUUUGAUCAAUGGAAUAUUCCCGAAGAUAUAACAAAUAAUUUUAUUGGUAAUUAAAAUUAUUACAAUUAUUAGUAUUUUUACUAUUGAUGUUUUUAAAAAAAUUACGAUCUUCAAUAAAUAACAGAACAUCAUAAUAUUUUUUUAGGCAAUGAAAUUACACUUCAACUAUUAAAACAAUUGUCACCUGAUGUGUUGAAAGAAUUAUGUCAACAUAUUCUUACAAGAAUAAUUUUACAGCAGCAUAUUAAUCAAUUUGUGGUACCAAUUCAUGUAAUUUUAUUUUUUGUUUAUAAAAAAGUUAGUGAUUUCCUCUAAUUUAUUUAAAAUAAAAAUGUUUCAAUAUGUAGAAUAACGCUUCAGAAGAAGUUAAUGAAGAGGAUGGAAAUAAUUCUGGCAAUAACUCUGAUGAUCAUCCUGAAGUAGCCGUAGAAGCAGAAGUUAUCGAUGAAGUUGAUUAUUUUCCAUCUUUAGAUUUAACCAAGCAGAUAACAGCAUCUCCUGAAGGACCUCUUAUCUCUGCAGAUUAUUCCCAGAAUGGGAAAUUAAAUCCGACUAAUCAACAGUCAGUAGUGGACAUUAUUAGUCGCUUUUUGUUUCCUUGGCUGGAGGAAAAGUAAGCAAUUCUAAUCGAUUUUGUUUGUCUAUAUUAUAUAAAUUUACACAUAACAAGUAUCUUCUCGGUGAAUUAAAAUAUUUCUUUUAUAAUUGAGCAGAGUUGAUUCCUACAAAUUUAUUUUAGUUAAAAAUAUAUUUAAAAUUUUUUUACAGCAUGAUAACAAGUUGUCAUUACCGUUGUUUGUUAAAAAAAAUAAAAAAAACAUUCCCAAAUGAAUGUUUAAGUGUUUACUUUAUCAAGCCAGUUCCUAAACGGCUUUCACCUAGUAAUAAGCCUAUUCCUAUGAGAGGCAAAUUGCCUGAUAAAAUUAGAAAUACAAGGCACACUUCUGGGAUUACUAAGGGUAACAGAAAACGAAAGAGCAAUGUAAUCGAUUUGACUAUUGAAGAAAAACGAAAGCGAUACGACGAAUUAUUAGAAAGAAGCAUCUAAUACGAUAGUUCUUUUUGUAGAAAAUCCUGGUGACAUUGAGACUGAAAUCGAGAAACAGAGAACCCGUGCUUAUAAUAAGCAUGAUACCGUACAACCAUAUAUACUUAUUCAAGGGAACAUGACAGAGCAUAACCAGGUGCUGUUGGUUGUAGACGAAAUCAAGUAUCAAUUUACGUCAGCAAUUACAGCAUGUGAUUGUUUAUUUAAAUGUUACCACGUUUUUGGAGCACAAUAUCCAAAGGAUUCAAAUCACAUAUAUUUAUUAAUACAAAGGUGCCUCUUUAAGAUUAAAACUCAGUAUGAUGUUUUGCCCACGACGAUUAUUGAUAUUGAUCAAACGUUUGACAGACUAUAGGAUAAAGCAAUAUUUGAAAUAAAUGUAUUUGAAAAGAAAA